CUGACGUCACGUGGGGGUGGGCAGCCUUGUUGAAACUUAAGUAAAAUGGCCGUCUUAUACUCUUGGCCUCUCCCGUUUUCUUCCAGUGUGACUUCCCCCAAAUCUCUGCUUUGCUACACCUUUCUUUGCUCUCCUGUUCCCAUCUUUAUUAUUCUUGCAUCUGAUUGAUUUUUUUUUUUUUCCAAAAAUCAGACUUGAGCAGUGCUAUACCGGGAGCUGGACUAGAUCUCCCCCUGGAGGGAGACAAACGAAUGAUUCAGAGCUCUCUGCCCUCUAGGUGUUAGCAAACUAAUUAAGAAAGGAAUAUGGGUUACAAAUAGCCAAAUAGAACACUUCAUUAAGUUAACAGGGAACAGAUCAGGAGCUGGGAUGGAGGCACCAUGAGUUGGAUGGCUCCAAAGAAACGAAUUUGCUCAAGAGCUGUGUGAGCUUGAAAGAGGACCCCAGGCUUCAGGAGUUCCAUAGAGAAGGAGAUCAGGAUAAAGCCAGUGUCAGGACGCUUCACAUGGUCCUUGAGGUGUCUUGUCUGGGGGCUGUGGAUUAUGCUGAUUAUGCUGUGGAAAGGGAACUCCAAAAUGCCGCCCACACCUGCUGUGCUUAUCAACUGCCAAGUGAAUCCACCCAAAGCACAGCCUCUUCUGUGGUCCCGAAACCUACAAGCCCUGCCAAAGGGUCAAUAACAGAGGUAACAACAACAGUGCUGGGUGCAGUAGCAACCAAGUCUGAUCAACACAGCAAUGUCAGGAACAGCCAGCAAGGGUCCAGUGGUCCUUAAAAGGUACAUCCAGACCUGAUGGCAGGGUAUGCACAAAGAAGUACGACCAGGUGACCAUACAAUCACUGUCAACUAGGAGGCAGUUCUGAUAAAGUUGUAUUGCUAUAGAGAGACUUUAAUAGGUAUGAGGACUCAUCUUCCUGCUGUGCCAUUCCUUGUCCUGAAGGGGAGUUCAAAUCUUUUCCCAUUUUCAACUUCAUAGAAUGAAAGAAACUAAAGUCUCUGGUAUUCAAAAUCAUGAAGAUUAGGGAAAGAUUCAUGAUAGCCAACAGAAGAGAUAAAAAUGCUUGUGAUAAUGAAAACGCUUGAAACAGGAAACAAAAAAAAAAGAAGGAAGAUGAAAGUAAUAGUGAAGAAAAAUGAACUUUGUAUCCUCAAAGGAACACAGAAACAUCAGAAUCUGCUUCACUUUGAUGAGCUAAUUGAUUUGGUAAUUGCCAUGAUCUUUCAUUGUGGUCUGUUAUGAAGAACAACAAUUUUAUUCAACAUCAAAUGGAGUUCACUUUUUCCAAAUUUUGGUCUAAUAAUAUUCACAGAGAAUUCAACAGAACAAAUCACAGGAAAGCAUAUACUUCUCAAACAGAUACAUUUGGGUCAAACUGCUAUGAGAACCUGGCUGGCCUAUUCUAAAACUAAAAGUUGCAUUUUUUCUUUUGUUUGUAGACUGUUUUCAACAAGACAGAUUAUGUCAGAUGGGUUUUAGUACUGGGUAAAUAUGCUAAGAAGUUUAAAAAGUUAAGUAUAUCCCACAGAGUGCUAGGUUUGCAAUGUUUACUUGAAAUAACAGUUGACUCUUUAACAACACAGGUCUGAACUACAUGGGUCCACUUAUUCAUGGAUUUUUAAAAUAAAUAAAUGCAGUACUUUAUUCCCCCCCUCAAUACAGUACUUUAAAUGUAUUUUCUCUUCCUUAUGAGUUCCUUAAUAACAUUUUCUUUUCUCUAUCUUAUUGUGGGAAUACAAUAUACCGUAUGUAUAACACAAAAUAUGUGUUAAUUGACUAUGGUUUCUGGUCAACAUUAGGCUAUCAGUAGUUAAGUUUCUGGGGAGUCAAAAGUUAUACUCAAAUUUUUUACUUCAGGGGGUUGUUGCCCCCCCAACCCCUACAUUGUUCAAGGAUCAACUGUAUAUAUAUGUCUAAUUAAAAUGCACUAAACCAGCUUCUUGAAAAAUCAACAGGAAAAAAAACAGGAAAAACAUUCUGAAUUAUUUAGAAUGCCAUAAACAGUAGCAGCAGCUAUUACAUUUUUAAGUAAAAAUCGCUUCAGAGGUCCUAGUGAAAACAUUGUGUUCUUCAAACGAAAGUAGGUAAUUUCGUGGUAAUCCCUGAACUAAUUGUUGAAUUUUGCUUUUGCAUAAGAAACUUGGAAAAAAUGUCAAAAUAAAAGAAUGAACGUGACUCAUCUAAAACUUAUGGACAACUGGUGUAUCAAAUUAACUAGUGAAAUAAAAUACAUAAACCAGA